GCUUGUCUCAAAGAUUAAGCCAUGCAUGUCUUAGUGUAAAUAACUCUUAUGAAACUGCGAAUGGCUCAUUAAAUCAGUUAUCAAAUACGUGAUGGUCGCCUACUACAUGGAUAACCGUAGUAAUUCUAGAGCUAAUACAUGCAUAAAUCCCCGACUGCUUGGAAGGGGUGUAUUUAUUAGAUGGAAACCAAUUCGGGGUAACCCGGUUUAUGGUGAUUCAUAAUAACUUUCGGAUCGACGCAAGUCGAUGCAUCAUUCAAGUUUCUGCCCUAUCAGUUGUGGAUGGUAGGGUAUUGGCCUACCAUGACUUUAACGGGUAACGGAGAAUUAGGGUUCGAUUCCGGAGAGGGAGCCUGAGAAAUGGCUACCACAUCCAAGGAAGGCAGCAGG
rnacentral:rRNA from 1 species